CCCUUAGACGUCCUGGGCCGCACGCGCGCUACACUGACGGAGCCAGCGAGCUUACCCCUUUGCCGAAAGGCAUGGGAAAUCUUUUGAAUCUCCGUCGUGCUGGGGAUAGAUCAUUGCAAUUAUUGAUCUUGAACGAGGAAUUCCUAGUAAGCGCAAGUCAUCAACUUGCGCUGAUUACGUCCCUGCCCUUUGUACACACCGCCCGUCGCUCCUACCGAUGGGUGAUCCGGUGAAUGAUUCGGACUUCAGCGGCUCCCCUGGGGUGCGCCGGAGAAAGUUUUGUGAACCUUAUCACUUGGAGGAAGGAGAAGUCGUAACA
rnacentral:rRNA from 1 species